rnacentral:rRNA from 1 species
GACGUAGGAGGCGAGCGUUGUCCGGAUUCAUUGGGCGUAAAGAGCGCGCAGGCGGCUUGGUAAGUCGGAUGUGAAAUCCCGAGGCUCAACCUCGGGUCUGCAUCCGAUACUGCCCGGCUAGAGGUAGGUAGGGGAGAUCGGAAUUCCUGGUGUAGCGGUGAAAUGCGCAGAUAUCAGGAGGAACACCGGUGGCGAAGGCGGAUCUCUGGGCCACUACUGACGCUGAGGAGCGAAAGCGUGGGGAGCGAACAGG